GAUGAACGCUGGCGGCGUGCCUAAUACAUGCAAGUCGAGCGAAAAGACGCUGAGAUUGCUCCCUUGACGUUAGCGGCGGGCGGGUGAGUGACAUGUGGAUCAGCUACUUCUUUGUCUGGGAUAAUAACGGGAAACCGGAUACACUACUGGAGCAUAUAUUCUACCGGUUGGUGCAAUAGUUAGUGACGGCUUUCGCGUCUGUAUUAGCCGGUUCCGCGCUGCAUUAGCUAGUUGGUAAGGUAACGGCUUACCAAGGCGACGAUGCGUAGCCGACCUGAGAGGAUGAUCAGCCACACUGGAACUGAGACACGGUCCAGACUCCUACGGGAGGCAGCAGUGGGGAAUAUUCGGCAAUGGGCGAAAGCCUGACCCAGCAACACCGCGUGGGUGAAGAAGGCCUUCGGGUCGUAAAGCCCUUUUGUUGGGAAAGAACAGAUGUAGGAGUAUACAUGGAUGUUUUGACGGUACCUAAUGAAAAAGCCCCGGCUAACUACGUG
rnacentral:rRNA from 1 species